rnacentral:rRNA from 1 species
UACGUAGGGUGCGAGCGUUGUCCGGAAUUACUGGGCGUAAAGAGCUCGUAGGUGGUUUGUCGCGUUGUUCGUGAAAUCUCACGGCUUAACUGUGAGCGUGCGGGCGAUACGGGCAGACUAGAGUACUGCAGGGGAGACUGGAAUUCCUGGUGUAGCGGUGGAAUGCGCAGAUAUCAGGAGGAACACCAGUGGCGAAGGCGACUUCCUGGCCUGUUCUUGACGCUGAGGCGCGAAAGCUAGGGUAGCAAACGGG